rnacentral:sRNA from 1 species
GCCAGGUGUGGUGGUGCACGCCUGUAAUCCCAGCAGCUUGGGAGGUAGAGGCCAGAGGAUCACAAGUGCAAGGCCAACCUCAGCAACUUAGCAAGGCCCUAAGCAACAUAGUGAGACCUGUGUCAA